AACGAACGCUGGCGGCAUGCCUAACACAUGCAAGUCGAACGAGACCUUCGGGUCUAGUGGCGCACGGGUGCGUAACGCGUGGGAACCUGCCCGUAGGUUCGGAAUAACUCCCCGAAAGGUGUGCUAAUACCGGAUAAUGUCAUCGGACCAAAGAUUUAUCGCCGUUGGAUGGGCCCGCGUUGGAUUAGCUAGUUGGUAGUGUAAAAGCCUACCAAGGAGACGAUCCAGAGCUGGUCGGAGAGGAGGAUCAGCCACACUGGGACUGAGACACGGCCCAGACUCGUACGGGAGGCAGGAGUGGGGUAUAUUAGACAAUGGGCGAAAGCCUGAUCCAGCAAUGCCGCGUGAGUGAUGAAGGCCUUAGGGUUGUAAAGCUCUUUUAGCCGAGAUGAUAAUGACAGUACCGGGAGAAUAAGCACCGGCUAACUCCGUG
rnacentral:rRNA from 1 species